GCGUGCGGCCGCCGAGCACAUGGGUCCGCGGGCCCGGCGGGCUCGGGGCGGCGGGGACGAGCGGGAGCAGCCAGGAGCCGAGGGCGAGGACGGGCCCCCGCGCCCCCCGAGUGGGUUUCCACGCCGAAGGGAUGUUGGCGGCCCCGGUGACCCGUGGAGGCAGGGCGGGAUCCACCCUCCACCCAUCCAUUACCGGAAGAGCAAAUGACUUGAAAGGAAUCUCACAGCAAGUGAGCAGCAGAGAACACGAAAAUGCUUCCUGAGAGAGACACUGUGGUCUGACGACACCAGCAGUCAUGGGGAGUGAUGCCCCACAUCGUGCAUUCUUGCAGCUGUUGUGUUGCCUUGAUCUCUGUCCUGAUUCUUCUAUCCAGUAAGACGAUCUGAGUUUUAGCCACCUUCCUGGUUCAGAGGCCUGAUCUUUGGACCAGAAGGAGAUUAAAAGAUGCCCCCGAAGAUGGCUGUGACUGUCACUUCCAUGGAGCUGCGGUCAAGGAUUUUCUGAGCCUGAUGGAUUUACAGUGAUACUCGGCCGCCUGGGGAAUAACGCUGUUGAGGCUUGCACUGGAAUUACUCACACCCGGCGCACUUCAGGAUGCUGAAAGUGGUUCUAAGGAAGGCCCUGGCUGGAUGCCUCGUGGGUUCUCAUGGCCCGGGUGCCCAGCAGGACAGAGGACCGUGGCGGCCUGCGCGGGCUGAGUAGUCCAUUCUUGUGGCGGACGGGAGUGUCUCUGCCAGCUCCCUGGGGGGCUCCCUGUGAAAUGAAGGUCUGGAAGGAAGGGAGGUUGUCUGAGAGUGCCUCAGUGAUCCCUGGAAUGGGCCUGCCAAAGAUGAAGGAGGGAGAGAUGACCAACCUUUGCUCACGGUUGCCCCAAACUGUCUUAGAAUUCGUUUAUAUCUGGGAUUUAGGCACUUUUCAUCUGAAAAAAUACAUUCAGCAUUCCAGAUGGAUUUGAGAACUGUUCUUCUCUGAACUAAAGCUGGAAUAUUUGGGGAUUUGGAGAAUUAAGCUGCAAAUGGACCAGCACCCACUCGAGGUGGUCAUGAAGGUUGCAGAACCUGGCUCAGGAGUAUGAUAAUCAGCCUCCGGUUCUCAAAGGAACAGAAGUGCUGGCUUCUUGUGCACUGGCCUGCCCUAGCAGCAGAUCCAGCCCCCGAAGACAGGGGGAGAAGGACAUUUGGCCUUGCGACAGCCGUGGAUGUCUGACUCAUCCUGGAUGCUUGACUUGCCAUACACAUCAUCCCUGGAAAGCCACAGAGUCUUCUUGGCCCCAGGCCUGGACUGGAGAAUGGGGCCUCACUGAUGAGAGGAACAGCUCAGCUUGGCUGUGUUUUCCGUAGGUGACCUUCCCUAUUCCAGUGUCUUUCUCAUACUUUUGAGAAUCACUGCAGCCCUUAAGUGCUGCCCCCUCUUUGCCCAGAGACAGUGGGGUUUAGAGUCACGGAGACUUAGUUCCGCCAAUGAGGAGGUGUAAAGUCCUUGACCAUCCUUCUGAAGUCAGACUGUUUGGCUUCUGAUCCUGGCUGCCUUAUUUACCAGCAGUUGUCUUAAUGACUGUCUUGGUUUCCUCAUCUGUAAAAUGAGACUAUGGAAGAUUGAAUUACUGGUUCCAGUUCUUUACUCCUCCACAAUAAAAUUGUACAUUCUUACCUUCACCAUGGCCUCAAGGUGGGUGGAAUGCACUUUUUCAGCCCUGACUUUGGUCUUGCCCAUGUUACUUGCUUUGGUCCAUGGGAUGCUGUUAGCAACAUAACCAAAGUGGAGGAUUAAAUGCGUGGGCUUGCUUUCCUGCAUACCUUUCAUUGGGACAACAUGCCUUUGGGAGCCUGUGAUCUACAAAACAUAAGAGACAUAAAGCAGAUUCAGAAUUAACACCUAAUAUGGAGCCAAAUGCAAACAAACCCUGAUUAUAUCAGCCAACCCCUAGCUGACUGGCAGAUAUGAUACUGAGCAGUAAAUGCUUACUAUUGUAUGCCGUGGAGUUUGGAGAUGUGGUGCUAUACAGUGUUUUGUGGCCAUAAGGUGGACUAAGAUACCACCUCAAGAUUAUCAUAAGAACUGAAUUGGUUCAUGUAUUAGUUUUCUCUUGCUACUGUAAUAAAUUACCA